rnacentral:pre_miRNA from 13 species
UGGCACAUACCUGUAGACCCAGCUAGGAAACUGAAAUCCUCCUAUCUCAGUCCCCUAGCUGAGUCUACAGGUAUGUGUGUC